UCUCUUCCCUCUCCCAUCUGGCGCUGCUCCUCUCCCUCUCUCUACCCUCUCUUUCUCUCUCUUCCCCUCUCUCUCUCUUUCUCUCUUUCUUUCUCUCUUUCUCUCUCUAUUUCUCUCUUUCUCUCUCUUAUCUAAUCAUUAAUUUGAAAUCAGUUCUUCAACUUUAGUUUUUUAAUUAAAAAAAUUUAUUUACAGAAUGACCAUAUAUAAAUUUUAGUAAAAUUUUAAAUAAAAAUAUUAAAAUAAUUCAACCCUAUAAAUAUUAAAAGUUAAAAAAAUAUUAAUUAACAAAUUAUUUUUUUAAUGUAUAUAAGACUAUUUUAUAAUUU
rnacentral:lncRNA from 1 species